GGCUGAGUAGCUCAGUUGGUGAGAGCGCGGAGCUCAUACCUCCGAGGUCGACAGUUCGAAUCUGUCCUCAGCUA
rnacentral:tRNA from 1 species